ACCCACAAUUACUUCCAAUUUAUGUAGUGAAUUUUAAAAAUUAAAAACACUAAAAAAGGCAUUAUUUUAGCCUGUAAUUAGUUAAGCCAUUCAAAUUUGAAACAUACAAAAUGAUUUAUUUGAAUUCAGGAACUGCCCCUGUUCCUUAUAUCAUUGCUUUGUUUUUUAAAUUUUAGUUUGACUCAAUUUUACAGUUUCAGGAUUUUGUUUCUGUUUCACGUUUUAAGCUUUUCUUUUAUAAAUAGUUACUUUCCUAGUCUGAAAUCUAUACAUUGUUUCAGUAAUGAAUCAGCACUUUGGGAGGCAGAAGUGGGAAUAUCACUUGAAGCCAGGAGUUGGAGACCAGCUUGUUCAAUAAAGGAAGACCUCAUCUCUAACAACAACCACAGCAGCAUGCAUUGUGAUUAUUUCGAAGACAAAACAUUUUUGGCAUUGUGAGAUAUACUUAUCCCUAAUAUAGGGACUCGAUUAGUUUCUGCUAGUGUGGAGACAAGUCAUAUCAUGGCUAGGGGUCAUGAUGGUAGGAGCAGUCAGAGGAUUUCUUGCAUUGUGAUGAGUGCAUAUAAGUUAAAUGAGCCACUUAUCAGUAGAUUUGAUAGCAGGAUAACAGUUAUAUCACUGAUACCUAGGCAGUACAUGACACUCGGUAAAGAAUAGAUUAAUCCUCAUGCUCUUCAUCUUCCUCCUAAUCUCUUUACCUGUGCUGCCCUCCAGCUUUCAAAGUGCUCUGAGUCACCACUUACACUGUGUUCCUUAGCUGCCCCUUCAGUGGGCCAGUGUUUCUGUGCCCCAGUGUUCCUGAGAGUUAGAACACAGAAAACAGAGCAAGCUCUUGUCCACAUCACAGAACAUCUUUGUCUCCCUGUGGAUCCCACACAUUUGUUCAUUAGAGCUCAGGAAUUGCCAGAGACUGGCUUUUCUGGCAAUGGACACUAGAUUCUUCAGAGGAAUAUUGGUUGAAAUCUUCCUGCUGUGACAGUUCCCUGCAUGCAGGGCAGGAAUAUGUGCUUCUUCCCAGCAAAGGCAGAGGCAGGGCCUACAGAAACUGUGCCCGCAGCCUAUAGUGAUGGGGUCUAUGAGGUAAUUCAGGCAGAUGAGGCAGGCGAGUUCUUUCUGGAAGGCUUGUGGGAAGUCUAAGUCCAUUUUUCUGAGGGAAGGAAAUCAGAAGAAUUUAUUCUUAUGCCAUAGAGAGACAAAGAUCUACGCAAAGUUUGAAUCAGGUUUUGAGUAGGAUCUGCUCACAGGUUUAAAUCUAUAGCAGGAUAUGAUUUUAUUUUGCACAUAACAAAAAUGAAAAACUGAGGCACAGAAUUCAAGCUUUGCAGAAAAAUGUGUUGGCUCCCUAACCAACACACACACACAUCUACUUUCCCAAAUUCUUUCCUCCUGUAUGAAAAAAACUUAAGGCUGGGCUCAGUGGCUCAUGCUUGUAAUCCAGCACUUUGGGAGGCUGAGGCAGCAGGAUUGCUUGAUCCAAGGAGUCCAAGACCAGCCUGGGCAAGAUGAUGAGACCCUGUCUCUACAAAAAGAAAAGGAGGAAAAAAUUAGCUGAGCAUGCCAAUAGUCCCAGCUACUAGGGAGGCUGAGGUGAGAGGAUUGCUUGAGCCCAGAAGGUCAAGGCGGCAGUGAGCCAUAAUCCAGCCACUACACUCUAGCCUGAAUGACAGAGCAAGACUCUGUCUCAAAAAUGAACAAAGAAAGAAAAGAAAGAAAGAGAGAGAGAGAGAGGGAGGGAAGGAGGAAGGAAGGAAGGAAGGAAGGAAGGAAGGAAGGAAGGAAGAAAAGGAAGGAAGGAAGUUUACAGAGUUUUUUGAGGUGUUAGUGUUCCCUAAAUUGUAUGGUCUUCAGAGGUUUACCCUCCUAUAGCUUCAAGGGGUGAGUCCUGACUGGUAGGAAAAUCAAUCACACUCUUACUUGCCAGUGAUUCAUUUAGGGAAGACAGCUAACUAAGCUCUUCCACUUUGAUUAUUUCAUUUAAUUGUAACAACCAUCUUAUCAUGACUUCUUCAAAAUUACCCUGCCAGUAAGUGUUGGAGGACUCCCCAGAAGCAGAAACCACCAUGCUUCCUGUAUAGCCUACGGAACCGUGAGCCAACUAAAGGUGUUUCUCAGGUAUUUCUUUAUAUCUUUGGCCAAAAUUAAAGAGUUAGGCUUUACUCUCCAAGAUACUGCAACAGAUAAAAACGAGCCACCACUGUUUUCUAAUGUUGUUUUCUUGUUAAUUCAAUCAACAAGUAUUUUCUGGUAAGUUUAGUGUUCCAGAGACUGUUAACCUGGUGAUGCACCGGUUAAUGAAACAUCCUUAAGAGAAAUAAAAGUUGAAAAAUAAGCCAGAUGAUAAAAUGCAGUAGUGUACACAAUGCCACUUAUCCGCAUGUCUUCUGUCUGUCACCCAUGAUCCGGAAAAUGUCUUUAGUAUAAGCCAUUGAUAAAGAUGCCUGAAAAAUGUAUGUAUAGAAGACAUAGUCACAAAAUUACUUUUUUCCUUUGAUAUCCCUUGUUACCUCAAACAGAAUUUACCACUCCAAUUCGAUUUCUGAAUACAUGGGAGUUAAUAGAAUACUCCUAAUCCAUUUAUAGGAUCUGCACUAAGUACAAAAAUUAAAGACAUCUGAAAACUAUUUGGUGAGUCCUUAUAAUCCAUAUCAAUAAUUAUGGAAUAUAUUAAGUAAUAGACCAAAAAUUAAUCAUCAUAUUAACCAAAAACACAUAGCAAGACAAGAUAACUAAAUAUUUUCAUUUGGAAAUUGGGAAAUUUAGUCAAUUUUAAAACUCAGCAAAUGAGAUCAUUUCACAGAAGCAACCUAGGUUUGCUGGUAAAUUAAAAUUAUGACAUUUUGUUUUGGUUUGGGAGGGUAGUUCCUCUUCUGUAAAUUGUGUACUCACAUAAGAAAUAUAUCUAUGUUCUCACGGACACUUACUGUAGAGGUAAUAAUAUGAAGUUAGCUCAGGGAUCAGGGCCUCACAGUGCAGUGCUGGUAGCUUUUUUUUUUUUUUUUUUUUUUUUUUUUUUUUGCCCUGCACCUUGAGUAAAAGUUUCCUGAGGCCUCCCCGGAAGCAGAAACCACCAUGCUUCCUGUAUAGCCUAUGGAACCGUGAGCCAACUAAAGGUACUUCUCAUGUAUUUCUUUAUAGCAAUGCAAGAACAUACUAAUACAGCUAAGCAGAGGCCAUCAGGACCAGCAACAGUCUGAGCUGGAUGAGAGACAAAGCUAAACUUUGAGCAGCAGCAGGAGCUGCCAGGGAGACAGAAAGGAAGGACAGACUCCUAAAUUCCAGGAUGUCUCCUUUAAGUCUGUAAGAAGCUCAGCCACCGUCUCCUUACCUGACUCCUUUGGGAAAGAGUUUCCCUAGGUUAAGCCAUACAGGGAUAGGGUAGGAGAUGCCAUUUGGAUCUAGGAGCAGAGGGCAGAGACUCAGCAGGAAGAGUGUCUCUUUGAGAAGGAGACACAGUGGAACAGCUGUGUAGGUUCACAGGGCCAGCUGUGGGUAGAGUUGAGUGUACAUUUUUAGAAGCCACAAUUCCCAAAAAUCUCCUGACUAUAACAUCAGUGCACGGAGCCAGUCAAAUGGAGGAGGAGUGGGUCCAGGCAAUUCAGGAAGAAGGAAAGUAACAAAUGAGUGGUUGCAGGAGGACACCCUUUCUGUCGAGGUCACUAAACAAAACAUUGUCUCCUCCCCUUAACUUCGGAAACAAGCAAUGGAGGGUAAAAGUGUUGCCUGGGCCCUGGGGGCAAAGGCAGUAGAUAACUUCUCUGUCGUGUUCUCCAGAAGGGCCCAUUCCAGCCUCACAGGCCGAGAAGUCUGUUCGGUUCCCAAGUACUAGAGAUGCUGCUAUAAGGGACUCCCGAAUUUCCUUCCUGAACCAGAGGCUGCCCAGCCUUUUCUUCCUGUUUUAUUUUUUCCCAGGAAGAAACUUGCCUGUACAAUUACAAGGUUCUACGGUUCUAAAUUCCAUUCUAGUCUUCCACAUCAUUUUGAAGGUAUAAUAUUAUUUGUCAAAGUGGGAUGAUAGAAGAUAUGUGUGGACUUAAAAUUAAAUUGUUGACAAGGAAAAAAACUAAAAUAAGAAAAUAAGAGAGAAAAAAUAUAUGCAUGUACAGUGGUUAGCUAGAAAUAUGCCUUUUAAAUAUUUGGCAUGUGGUAUGUGGGCCUCAAUGUGUACUAUUGCACUAGCUUCCCAAAUAUUAAAGGAUGUCUUUUAAAAGAAAAACCUCUUGCUAAAAGGUUAACAGUUAAAAUAACCAGAGUGGCACAGGUACCAGUCAUUAAGUGAAACCUUUCAUCUUCCCAGAAUAGUACCUGUUCCCAAGCCAGCUUCUUUGAAAAUCACUUUUCUCUCCUUUACUAUUUAGUUUACAGAUUGUAUAGUAACAAUAUAGAAACCACAAUAGUAGCAAAAAAAAUAAAGAAUAUUUUUAAAUGAAAACUCACAUCCUAACUCUAACAAAACAUGAAAAUUAAACCUGAAUGCCUCCCAUUCCUGAUAUAUUUUUCACCUAAAUAUUCAGCUCUGGGAUUGCAUUGUUUUUGGAUUGAGUGGAAAUUAUUGCCUGGUCUUGAAAUCUUCCACAAUGUGUGUGUGUGUGCGUGUGUGCAUGUGUGCGUGUGUGUGUAUGUGUGUAUGUGUGGUGAAUAUAUUUCUUUUUGUUCAGAGGAAACAUUUUUUCAAUAUGUAUAUUUAUUUUAGGCAGAUUAUGCUAGUAAUUUUCUACAAAUGUGCUUUUUAAAAAAUAACCUUUAAUUUAAAAAAAAUUAUUCUUUCUCAGUGGCCCACAAUUGUUAAAAAUGCUACUAAUGGAGCUGGGUAUGGUGACACACAUCUGUCAUCCCAGCUACUUGGGAGACUGAGGCAGGGAUAUUGCUUAAACUUGGGAAUGUGAAACCAGCCUGGGCAACAUAGUGAGAUCCCAAUCUCAAAACUCAAUCAUUAAAAAAUAAAAUAAAAUAAAACACUACUAAUAGCUUUUUAAAAAAUAGUUCUUAACCAAUUUUCCUAGCACCUUCCUUUCCUCAGUGAAGUAUAGAAAUAUGUGGUCAGGCACUGUGGCUCACACCUAUAAUCCCAAUAAUUUGGGAAGCCAAGGCAUGAGGAUCAGUUCAUUCCAGGAGUUCAAGACUAGCCAGGGUGACAUAAUGAGACUUGGUCUCUAACAAAAAUUUUUUUUUCUUUAAUUACCAGGGCAUGAUGGUGCAUGCUUGUAGCCCAGCUACUUGGAGGCUGAGGUAGGAGAAUCACUUGAGCCCAGGAGGUCAAGGCUGCAGUGAGCCAUGGUUGCACCACUGCACUCCAUACCUGGGUGACAGAGUGAGACACAGUAUCAAAAACAAACAAACAACAACAAAAAGUAUUUGUUUUAGAAAAAACAUUUGGUGAGGUUUGGGCUUAAAAAUAUAUUAUUCUAAAAUAUUCAUAAAUAUUCUCUAGUAAUGAUAAGAUUAAAGUGACAAAGACAAACUUUUUUCCUGUGCAGGUCCAUCUCUCGCCUUCC
rnacentral:lncRNA from 10 species